CGUGCUUCCUCAGUAAAGAGCUUGGAAAGGAUCAUUAAUGCUUCAUUCUUUAUCUUGGGGAAACUGUUAGCUAUCUGCCGAGCUAAUGUAGCAGUCUAGGCUGCGCCUCACACACACAGAAGCGGGGGCAGAACAAAUAGACCUGCAGGUGGGGUUCAGUUGUAAACCAAUCUCUAUAAAACCUUGGUAGCAUCUGACACAUUGGCUGAAGUCCCUACUCACCUGAAGUGAAGCGUAUGGUGCGAGGGAUGACCAGAGGACCAAUCAGAGUGAUGGGGCUGGGAUGAGUUCCCAUGAUGCCAUGGAGGCACAUGAAAGAUGGGGAUUGGUUUUGGAAAUGUCGAAAUGGUGAUCCGAACAACGUCAAUCCAUUGGAUUAUAUAAAGGCCAUCUGCGAAAUUAUGAACUGCCUGGCUCUCCAGAUAAUCGUGGGAAACUAACACGGACACACACACAAAUAAACAAACAGAGAUUCCUGGCA